rnacentral:lncRNA from 1 species
GGUUUGGGCUUUACAUAUUAAUUAAUUUGCUACGACUUCAUUUAGCUUAAUUAAAGGUCCAUACAUAUUAGAGGUCGCAUUUGGUGCGAUGGCAAGUGCCUUCGCCCAUGAGCGGUAGGUCUCGGGUUCGAGACUUGGGAGCAGCCUCUCUAUAAAUGGGGGUAAGGCUAGCCGACAUUCACCUCUCCCAGACCCUGCGUAAAGCGGGAGCCUUGUGCACUGGGUACGACAUUUUUAAAGGUCCAUACAUUAAUAUGAGAAUUAUAUAUUUGGAGUUAGAUGCCAUGCAUUUAAUAUGUGGAUAAAUUUCGGAUGGUCUUUAGUUUAUCUCUUCACUUAGAGAUCACUUCAAACUCUAUUGGAUUAGUUGUUUUAAUUGAUUAGGAUGACAAGUCUGAUCUUUCUUUUUUCUUCGGCCACGUGCUUAAUCUAACCGACCUAUAUAUAUAUAGAUUCAUCAGGUUAG